GCCCAGUGCUGUAUCCUUCUAUAGAUACUAUUUUAAGUAUCAUGUUGACAAUGCCGAUAACAAGUGCUACCGCGGAGAGAUCGUUUAGUGUACUUCGUCGAUUGAAAACGUAUGUAAGAUCAACCAUGAGUAACGACAGAUUAUCAUCGCUGGCAUUAAUGCAUAUCCAUCGGGAUUUCAAUGUUGAUAUUGACAAGGUAAUGGAAAAGUUCGUUUCUGAAAAGACCCGAAGAG
rnacentral:lncRNA from 1 species